rnacentral:rRNA from 1 species
GGAUGACCUGUGGCUGGGGGUGAAAGGCCAAUCAAACCGGGAGAUAGCUGGUUCUCCCCGAAAGCUAUUUAGGUAGCGCCUCGUGAAUUCAUCUCCGGGGGUAGAGCACUGUUUCGGCUAGGGGGCCAUCCCGGCUUACCAACCCGAUGCAAACUGCGAAUACCGGAGAAUGUUAUCACGGGAGACACACGGCGGGUGCUAACGUCCGUCGUGAAGAGGGAAACAACCCAGACCGCCAGCUAAGGUCCCAAAGUCAUGGUUAAGUGGGAAACGAUGUGGGAAGGCCCAGACAGCCAGGAUGUUGGCUUAGAAGCAGCCAUCAUUUAAAGAAAGCGUAAUAGCUCACUGGUCGAGUCGGCCUGCGCGGAAGAUGUAACGGGGCUAAACCAU